CCUCUUCUGGGUAUCAACAAAUCAAGGUAUAUCAAGUUGCUGUAAGAUUAAGCAUCUUCCUUUGAAUUAAAGGGUGGGCAAGGCAAUUCAAUAUAAGGAAUAGGUUCAAGAGCCAGACAAAGCAUUAGGGAUAACCCCUGCUCCCACUGUUAGGAACUCCAUGAGUAGGCCAAGCUAAACAACUGUCUCAUAUAUGUAGAGGGCUUAGGUUGGUCACAUGCAGGCUCCCUGGUGGCUGGUUCAGACUCAGUGAGUUCCUAUGAGCCAUGUUAGUCAUUUCUGUGGGAUUUCAUGUAAAAUCCUUGACCCAUCUGGCUCCUACGUUCCUUCCUCCCUCUCUUCAGCUGGAUUCCCCAAACUCAGGCUAAUGUUUGGCUGUAGGUCUCUGCAUUUGUUUCCAUCAGUUACUGGAUUAGGGCUCUCUGAUCACAGGAGAGGGCCAGGUCAGACUAUGUAUCCACUAUUGUUAGGAAUCUUAGCUGUGUCAUCCUUAUAGAUUCAUGGGAGUUUCUCUUGCAAAAAGGUUAUACCUAACCCUGAAAUGCACCCCCUUUUCCGUCCUCUCUUUAAUUAGUCUCCCCCUCCACCCUCCUCCUAACCUGACUCCUCAAGUUCCCAUUCCUACCCAUCUCCAGUAAACUCAGGAGAUCUCUUCUAUUUCCCUUUCCUAGGGAGAUCCAUGCAUCCACCCUUGGGCCUUCCUUGUAUCUAGCCUCUCCAGAUGUGUGGAUUGUAGCAUGUUAUCCUUUACUUUGCAGCUAAUAUCCACUUAUGAAGCACCCCUCUAUUGAAGAUGCUGCUAAUGCAAACAGUAACGGAUAAGAAAAAAGUUGUACAGCUCCUCAAAGUGGCAGAUCUCUGCUUCUACUUCCAUCAGGUACUGGAUGAAGACUCUAUGAUGACAAUUAGGGUCGUCACCAAUCUGAUUGCAGGGUAAGGCCAAUUCAGGCACCCUCUCCAUUAUUGCUAGGAGUCUUAGCUGGGGUCAAGUGAUCCUUGUGGUUUCCUGGGAGUUUCACUGGCACCAGGUUUCUCCUUAACAUCUCAUCUAUUUCCUCUUCUCAGGGAGAUCUAUGCAUCCCUCUUAGGGUACUCCUUGAUACCUAGGUUCUCUGGGGCAAAGGAUUGUAGUCUGUUUAUACUUUGCUUUACAUCUAAUAUCCACUUAUGAGUGAGUACAUACCAUGUUUGUCUUUCUGGGUCUGAGUUGCCUCACUCGGGAUGAGCUUUUCUAGUUCCAUCCAUUUGCCUGCAAAUUUCAUGAUGUCAUUGUUUUGUUUUUUUCCCCCACUGAGUAAAACUCCAUUGUGUAGAUAUACCACAUUUCUUUAUCCAAUCUUUGAUUGAGGGACAUCUAGGUUGUUUCCAGGUUUUGGCUAUUAUGAGUAAUGCUGCUAUGAACAUAGUUGAGCAAGUAUCCUUGUGUUCUGGUUGAAUAUCCUUUGGGUAUAUGCACAAGAGUAGUAUUGCUGGGUCUUGAGGUAGAUUGAUUUCCAAUUUUCUGAGAAACCACCAUACUGAUUUCCAAAGUAUUAAGUUGUCUUCUAACAGACACUAUGUUCUAGAAAGCUUAAAGUCUUUGGGGAACAUGGAGGAGAAAACACCAACAGCUGAUGCAAAGAGUAAACCACAAUCAAGCAGGCAUUGUUAUACGAGGACAGGUUAUGAGUAAGUACAGUGGCAACAUCUUUGAAACCAAAUUAACACUUUAAGACGAAUAUAGAAAUUAUGGUAAAGACCAUAAUUAUACAUUAGAAUUAUAACUAGAAAACAAGAGUGGGGAUCUCAAAGGAAGACCAUCACAAAAUCCCUCCAGGUAUUUUGAGAAAUCACUUUGUCCUCUCAGGCAGCCCCCAUGGGCUACAGUUCAUAGUAUCAGAGCUUCAAGCCUGAAGUAAUUUUUCUUUGCAGAUAUCAAAGAGAUAUCAUCAAAAAGAGAUGUUCAAACUAAUAUGAUAUAGUCAUUGACAAAAUUUUAAAACACAUGGACGCAUCAGUAGAUGAUGCCUCUGGCAGUUUCUAUGAAAAUGUGAAAAUGAUUUAGAGUAAAGCAAUAAUCUUAGAAUAUAAUAGCAGCAGCAAUUCACCCUUACUUAUCACAGUAUUUAUAGCAUUUAGCCCAGUGCCUGGCAAUGGUUUAACAUGAGAAAAAAUAUUUUUAGAAUAAAUGAAUACCUCUUCAUUCUACUAAUCCUCUCCCCUUUAAUUUCAACUUUAUUUUGAGACCUACUUUCUUCCUAAUGAUAACUAGGUCUCUCUCAGCCAAGAGACAAAUUUAUAGGGACUAUGGAAAAUGACCAAAUUCCAAAGCUUUCCUGAAAGGAAAAAUACAACUAGAAUCUCUAUCUGAAGGAAAAAUGAUAACAAAGUUAUAUGUAUUUGAAAGGGAGUCAUCAUCUUGGGGGAGGAACAUGCACAGCAAGCCAUUGGGUAGCUGAUUACUGUCCUGUGUGUUUUACUGGAUAUGGGAAAAAUAGCAUAUCCAUUUGUUUCUCUGUAUAAACAAUUAGGUCACAGUUAAGCAUUCUUCAUUAUGAGAAAGGUAUUCCAGCCUUCAUAAGAUUCAAGCCUGGCACAAAAUUUUGCAUUGCAUAUGCUAUAUGAGUAGUAUGAUAUGAAAAUGUAGGGAAUGAAUCCAUACAGUGACUGAAAUUCUCUGGUCACAAAAAAGAUCUAUUCCAGGAUGAACUAAGAUCCUAAGUGCCACACCACAGUAAAAAUGAUUAAGAGACAUUUUUAUAAAAAUUAAAACUAUUUAUAAAAGGGGAAAAUUCUAUGGUAUUUUUAUUGUACUUACAUGAUGCUUUCUUCAACAUUUAUUUUACAGCAAAUAUGAUAUAAAUUAUUUUUAGUUGUGUUUUCCAUGUCCUAUGAUUGUGUAUGCUGAUUGGCUCUAAGAUAUAUAAAAUAAUUGCAGUCAAAUCUUUUCCUAAUGAUGAACACAGGUGAAAAAUACAACAUGAAAAUGUUAGAGGUGAAAAUGUAAUAUGGGUAAUACUAUUUAGGCAAACUAGAAAAAUGGCCAGGAGGCUGGGGAGAUGGCUCAGUGGUUAAGAGCACUUACUGCUCUUGCCAAGGACCCUGGUUAGUUUCCCAGCCCCCAUAUUGAGUAGUUCACAACUUCUUGUAACUCCAGAUUCAUGAAAUAUAAUGCUCUCUUAUAGCCUCUUUGGACACAUAUGUACAUGUGGUGCACAUAUGAACACUCAGACACACACACACACUCACAUAUUAAAUCAAUCAAUCAAUCAGCAAAUACAUAGUUUUUUUAAAAAAAUGGGUUAGCUUGGCAGUAUAUACUUUAUUGGCUCAACUGGGCUGCUUCUAAUCACUAUACCUUUAUUAAAUUUUAAUGUUACAUUUACUAAGUUUGAAUAUCUUACUGCCAUUCACAUGGUAGAAUUUAAAAGCACAAAAUGUUGAUGCAUGAAAGACAGUAUUCCUCCUACUCUGGGAUAGUCUUUCAGUUAUAAUUGCUUGUGUUCUUUGUUUUCAAACAAACAACAGAUUUAAUACUAAUCAUAGUGUUUUGUGUCGUGGUUAUUCUUCAAGAGUACAACUAUUGUGCUUUCAUUUUCAUUGUGGAAUAGAAUUUCUUUACAGGUGUACUGCAUUUUUCACUAGUUCCUGCAAAUAAACACGUUGAAUUUAGAAUUUUGGUACUACUACUAAUACCACAACAAACAUCUUCACUGAACAUAUUACGCCAAACAAUGUGGAUACAUAUCUAGAAUACACUCAGAGCACUUUCGGUUACUGUUUAGAAAGAUAACAUUAUUCUAUGCAUGCAUAUAUUCUGAUUCUUCUGCAGGAAUACAUAUAUUUUUAUAUAUAGUCAUUGUGUCAUUCUCUUCCUUUCCUAAUGGAUACUGCUUGUUUCUCAACAUAAGUUCGCAUCCCUACACAUAAUACUAGCACAGUAUAUCACCACAGAUUAUUCCAAGUCUAGGAAAGGGGAUAACAUUAUGGUGGUGAAUUUUUAAUAUUUUAUUUAAUUUUUUAAAUUAUCUGUAUGUUUGCAUCUGUAUGGAGGUUUAUGUACAUAUGUUUCAUGAAGGUCUGAAAAAGCUGUAGUAUCACUAGAAGCAGAAUUUACUAAUGACUGUAAACUGCCUAUUAUGGGUGCUGGGAAACAAAUUUAGGUCUUCUGCAGGAGCACAUCGUGUUCUUCACCUCUGAACCAUCUCUCCACCCCUGAUUGUACAAUUUUAACUAGUAUUAAUUUUAUUAUGAAUAAGUCAAAACAUUUCACGUGCUUUUGUCAGCUGUAUCUAUUGGCCAUUUCUAUUCUUUGAUCCUGUUGAAUUUAUUCUGUUUUCCUUGUUGAUUUGUAAAAAUAUUUUCCAUAACAUGAAAAGUAGCUUUUUGUGAUAUGAAUUAAAAUUAAUUUCUAUUUUUAUUUGUCUAUUGAGUGUUUAUAAUGCUACAAUCCUUUAAAUUUUUGAUAAUGGGCAGAAUGCUAAAUAAUUCUUAAUUGUUUAUAGACAGAAGAAUUCUAGAUAGUGGAGAAACAACUUAAACUAGUUUUGUCUGUAUGUAUUUAUAUAAAUAGUCCCUGUAUACUCUUGGGAUUUUCUUGGAACCUGAUUGUAACUUCGCUGGCUUACUUGGUAAUGAGGUAAGAAAAAUCUUGAACAAAUGGUUUUAUAAAUGGAGGCUUUUUUCUGUCCUUCCCUUUCCUGUGACCAUUAGUAAAUAAUCACUCAGAGGCUUAUAUUAAUUAUAAAUGUUUGGCUGAUGGCUCAGUCUCAUUACUAGCUAGCUCUUACAUUUAAAUUAACCCAUUUCUAUUAAUCUAUGUAUUGCCAUGUGGCUGUGACAUUAUAGGUCUGCUGGCAUCUUGCUCCCUGGGCAACUGGAUGGCAUCUUCCCUAAAUCGGCCCACUCUUUUCCCUGGUAUCUCUGCUUUGAUCUCACACCUGGCUCCAUCCUACCCUACCACAGACCAAAGCAGCUUUAUUUAUUAACCAAUGGGAGCAACAUAAAGUCAGAGCAUACAGAAAGGCAUCCUGCAUGAUGAAUAUUCCUUAAAAUAAUGUAAAAUGCAUUGUUAUUCUUUUCUUCUAGCGCUUUGAUAAUUUCUAUUGCAUUGUGUUUUAACAUUAGCUUUGGAAUAAUCAGAAUUUCUUUUAUUCAAAAGCAAGAGAUAUAAAUCUACUUCAAGUCAUUUUAGAGAAUUCUAUGGGCCCAACCAAAGUUGAACAACUGUCCUUUCUUCUCAGAUUUGAAGGCUUUUAUAUAUAAGAAGAAUAUCAAUCCACUAUAUUUAAUUUAAUACAUUCUGUAUGAACUGUUCUUAAAUAAGAGCAACCUUUGCCCCUGAACACAUUUGUUAGAGCCUGGAGAUGUUGUCAUUAUUACAGCUUGGGAAAGUUAUACAUACUUUUAAAUGAAAGACAUGGAUGUGGUUAAACAUCCCAGAAUGUGCUGAUCAACCCACAAAGAAAAUAAUAAUAUAUUUCUCCAAAGACCACUAAUGCUGUGUUGUGCAGGUUUUAGACACUUAAUGAUAUCCUAGAUUUUAUAUCUAGGUGGGUUAGUCUGUUAACUUCAUGCAGUUAGCUACUCACAGUAUCUAUUAUAGGUUUCUAAUACAAUUAAUCCAUCUCUUCCCUAGUUGCUUAGGGUCAGAGUGUUUUCUUUUAAAUUUUUAUUAAUUUAUUGAUAAUAAAAAUUUUACUGUUAUAUUUUGAUCAUAGCCACUCAUCUUCAACUCCUACUAGAUGCAUUCCUCUUCCUUAUCCACCUACAUUAUCUUUUCAUUUUUCUCCUGAAGCUUUAAGUCCAAUUUAUGCUGCCUAAAACCCUUGGAGUUGGGACCAGAGAAAUAUCCUGCCCUGAAUUAUGGUCCACCCACUGGGGGAUAUACACUUAAAGAAAAUUGACUAUCCUCUCCGCAUGCCAAUUACUAAUAACUCCUCAGGGAGGGGUAGGACUUCAUGCCUGUAUCUCCCUCCCCCCACCAACAUGCAUGCCUUGUCCAUGAACUCACAACCUGUGUAAGUUCAUGUGUGCAUCUUCCCUAUGUGUCUAUAAAACACUGUUUCCUUGAAGCUAUCUCUCACCUCUGGCUUUUAUAAUAUUUCUGCUCCUUCUUCCACAUUGAUCCCUGAGCCUUAGGACAAUGAGGUGUAAUGUAGAUUUCCCACCUGGGACUGAGCACUCCAUAGUCUUUUAUGCUCUGCACUUUGACAAGUUGUAGGUCUUUGUUUUAAUUACUUUCUACUGCUAAAACAAAUUUCUCUGGUGAAGGUGGAGAGGUGCAUUUAUCUAUGGAUAUAACAAUAAUUCAUUUUGAGUUGGUUUAAUACUAUAUCCGUCUAACAGAAUAACAUUAGGCUAUCCCUUAGAGGUGAUGGCCUGUCUUUCCACAGGUCUUGGCCUCAAUAAUGGUGGCAACUAUGGGUUCCAUCUUAUGGGUUGCUACCCCCAUGAUAUUUAUGCCACUAAUGCACCUGUAGGUAUACCUUGGCAGACCAUUCAGAGUUCACAGCAGGGUAAGACAGGAUUCCUUUCAUUUUGAAAGCUAGACAGUAGGAAUGGUUUAUCACAGCAACAGAGCUCAGACUAGGACAAUUCCCUUAUAAUUUUUUAUUGUUUGAAAUCAAUUGAUUUCUUUAAAUUAAUGUACAAGUUAAUAAAUGUCAAAUGACUUUGUAAAUGAUUUAAAUCUCAUAUUUUUUGCAAAAUAAUUACUUGGUGUUUUAUUGUAUAUAAUGUAUAGAAUUACAAAGAAUGGCAAUUAGUAACUCUAAAAUUUUAUACUUUGUAUUGCAUUCUAUUUUAAAUUAAAUUGUUUGAUAAUUUUAAAAUAUUAUUAUGAAUUAGCAGAAAUGAAAGUUCUCUUGUCUUAAUGCUAUUGUUUUACAAUAAGAACAGUACCUCUCUAACUGUUGCUAUUUAAAUGUUAAACUUGAAUUCUAUUAAUUUUGUAGUGUUUUUGGAGAUUAUUUUGAUCUGCUAUGUUUGGUAAUAUUUUGUAUGUACUAUUGAAUUAUAGAGCAUUCUUUCAUUACUAUUAUAAAUUGCAUUUUGUGAUGACUUCUUAUACUUUUAACAUUUUCUUGAUUUUGUUUAUUAAUAUUUUACUUACAAUGUUUCCAUAAUUUUAAUAUGUUACACUUAAUUAAGCACUUUAAACUAUUUUGAAAGAUCAUAUAAUAAGUUUUUAUAUACUUGUAAAACAGGUAUUACAUAUACUUUCUCAUUUUAGACAUUUAAAAUGUUCUGUUCAAUGAUAUUAUUACAUUCAAGUCUUUCUGCUACACAAUUAUUUUUAGUCUCCUACAUAUAUAUUGAAUGGAAUCUUUGAAGUUAUUCACAGAUGAUUUGAUUUCAUUGUCUUCUUGGGAGUUUCUUUCUCUUCAGUGCUUCUUCUCUUCUUAUUAUUAGCCUCGAUUGUUCACUAAAAUAUUUUAAUGAAAAAUUUCUGGAUAUAGUUA